AUGUUGAAUAUCUGGAUCGAGCUACCAUAUCUUGGCUACAACAUUGUUUUCGUCGGCGACCACGGAUGUACUGGCGCAGUGGCUGAGAGCAAUGCAGGGAGGUCGGCGCGUGUAUUCGCUCCGGCCUUUUUUAUU
rnacentral:sRNA from 1 species